CCCGGACCCAAGGGUGCAGGGAAAUGCGAGGCUCCCAGAGUCAGAGAUGUCCCCACCUGCCGUCCACCCUCUGGCCCAGGCUGCUGCUUGGGUCUAAGGAUGGGGGGAGGGGAGGAUCAGGUGACCUCGACCCUCUCCUGAGUGACACCGGCCCUGGGACAACAGGUGUCAUCUGAGAACGUCCCAGCCCCAGGUCCUGCCUGUGAGACCAGAGACUCGACCACUCCCUCAUAAUCCAGCCACGUUGCACACCGGUCACAGGUCCUGUCAAGUACAAAGUGCUGGUCGGCGUGCCAAGGACACGCCACACUUGGAGGAAGCCAGCGACUCUGGGGAGGCCAGUUCUUGUACUUUUCCAAGCCAACCACCUUCCUGAAAAUACCGAGGCCUGAAACAGACGGGGCAGGAGUACAGGAGCAGGGAAUGGUGCCAGACCGAUGUCCAGGAGGGUGAGCACGGAUGACAGCUGCUCUCGGAGGAACCGCAUAAGGCUCCGCCAGCACCUGCUGCCCCCAGCCCCACUGGCACCCGGCCCAACCCAGGGCCAGGAAUGGGGGCAACAGAACGCCAACCCCAAGGCCCCCGCUCUGCCUAACCACACCCAGGUCAGCGGGCAGCCGGGGCUUCUGUGCCCUGUGUCACCAGGAUCCUGGGUGCGGGAAAACCCUUGGAAGUCCAGGAGGAAGGAGCCAGACCCGGCCAUGGAGACCUGGCAGGUGGAAGCAGGGACUGUGGCCCACAGACCCCAGACCACCUCCUGUACCCCUGCGCUCACCUCAGCCCCCAGGCCACAGAGCCUGCCAGUCCCCCCGCCGCCUCCCGGGACCUGAAGGAGAAACGGGCUCUGGACAGCCAGGGGAGCCCUGAAGCCCUCCGCUUGGCGACUUGCUGCCUGAGCCAUUCUGUAGCCUUGCUCACUGCCCGCACCCAGCCCCCAUGCACAACCUCCAAGACCACCCGACCUCCUGGCCUGCAGGUACCCCGCACCCUGCGUUUCCUUCUGCACGCUUCUGGGGGCAACAAGAGACAGGAAACUCUGCCUAGAACCUGGGUGCCCCUUCUGCAGGACGAUCUCUGCCCUUUCAGAGUCUAGCCCUCAGGAGCAGGCUCAGAAAACCCGCAUUUCAGGCCACCCCUGGAUGAAGGGUGGGGGCCGGGGUACUGGGGACGGAGCAGAGGCUGGGCUGAGAGGAGACAGCAGGGGAGUGGAGGUCGGGGAGCCGGGGCGGGGGCCGGGGGCUCCUCCCGAAGGACCGCAGGGCAGGUGGCGCACUCUGCGCAGAACCGGCCGAGCCGCCUCUACAUCAGAGCGGGACCGAUGUGGUCCAUACAGCAGAGCCAGACCAACCCGGCCCCUACAGCAAGCCCGGCCCGACCCCGUGUCCACAGCAGAGCCGGCCCAAUCCGCCUCUACAGCAGGCCCCGGGGCGGUCCCGAGGCUUCGGCUCUGGACCCAGCUAGUCGCAGCGGAGACGACAGCCAUCGGCCAGGUCCAGGCCAGGGCGCAGGAAGGGGCGCCUCUCGCUCCCUGGCACGCUCACCUGCAGGAAUGGGAGUCCGGGUCCAGGGUUGCAGCUGCACGGGGUCGGAGGUCUUUGGUGCCCCUCUCCCGGGGUCACACGGGCCCAGGCCCACCGGGGGGCCCAGUGGAAAGGUCCCGCCUGACCUCGGCUGGUACUGGAGGCGCAGCGGAGACCGCGGAGGCGCGCGGAGGAGGCUUCAACAGUAUGUGAAUGGAGAACUUUCAGAUGUUCAAGCUGGAUUUAGAAAAAGCAGAGGAACCAGAGAUCAAAUUGCCAAUGUCCGUUGAAUCACAGUAAGAAAAUUCAAUAAAAACAUCUAUUUUUGCUUCAUGGACUACACUAAAGCCUUUGACUGUCUGGAUCACAACAAACUGGAGAAUUCUUAAAGAGAUGGGAAGAGCAGACCACCUUACCUGCCUCCUGAGAAAUCUGUGUGCAGGUCAAGAAGCAACAGUUAGAACUGGACAUGAAACAACGGACUGGUUCCAAAUAGGAAAAGGAGGACGUCAAGGCUGUACAUUGUCACUUUGCUUAUUUAACUUCUAUGCAGAGUACAUCAUGAGAAAUGCCUGGCUGGAUGAAGCACAAGCUGGAAUCAAGAUUGCUGGGAGAAAUAUCAAUAACCUCAGAUAUGCAGAUGACACCACCCUUAUGGCAGAAAGCUAAGAGGAACUAAAGAGCCUCUUGAAGAAAGUGAAAGAGGAGAGUGAAAAAUCUGGCUUAAAACUCAGCAUUCAGAAAACUAAGAUCAUGCAAUCUGGUCCCAUCACUUCAUGGCAAAUAGAUGGGGAAACAAUGGAAACAGUGACAGACUUAUUUUGGGGGGCUCCAGAAUCACUGCUGAUGGUGACUGCAGCCAUGAAAUUCAAAAACGCUUGCUCCAUGAAAGAAAAGCUAUGACCAACUUAGCAUAUUAAAAAGCAGAGACAUUACUUUGCCAACAAAGUCCAUCUAGUCAAAGCUGUGGUUUUUCCAAUAGUCAUGUAUGGAGGUGAGAGUUGGAUUAUAAAGAAAGCUGAGCGCUAAAGAAUUGAUGCUUUUGAACUGUGGUGCUGGAGAAGACUCUUGAGAGUCCCUUGGACUGCAAGUGGAUCCAACCAGUCCAUGCUAAAGGAAAUCAGUCCUGAAUAUUCAUUGGAAGGACUGAUGCUGAAGCUGAAACUUCCAUACUUUGGCCACCUGAUGGGAAGAACUGACUCAUUCUAAAAGACCCUAAUGCUGGGAAAGAUUGAAGGCUGGAGGAGAAGCGGACAACAGAGGAUGAGAUGGUUGAAUGGCAUCACCAACUCAAUGGACAUGAGUUUGAGCAAGCUCCGGGAAUUGGUGAUGGACAGGGAGGCCUGGCUUGCUGCAGUCCAUGGGGUCGCAAAGAGUCGGACACGACUGAGCGACUGAACUGAAUUGAACUACUCCCCCACCAAGCCCCAACUCUACCAUGAGAGCCUGCUGGCUGAGGACAAGCUGUUUUUUCAUGAUGCUGGUUUUCUGCUGCGUAUUCAGUAGUGUGCUUAAUUCUGCAAGGCAGGGACCAGCCUUCCCAUUUUACAGAGGAGGACUCUGAGGCCAAAGCAGAUCAACACUCUGGGAGGUGGCACCACUCAGCAAAGAGGAAGCAGGCUUUUCCACAGCCAGAAACCUGUUGAAUAAAUUGAUUAGCAAAUCAUUAUAAAUUAUUCCCUUACAUUUAUUUAACUUUAAUAUCUUUCAAAACAGUGUGUGUGUAUGUUCACGCACACGUACUCAGUUCUUUGUGACCCCAUGGACUGCAGCCCGCCAGGCUCCUCUGUCCAUGGAAUUUUCUAGGCAAGAAUAUUGCAGUGGGUUGCCAUUGUCUUCUCCAGGGGAUCUUCCCAACUCAGGGAUCGAACCCACAUCUCCUGCAUCUCCUACACUGGCAGGCAGAUUCUUUACCACUGAGCCACCAGGGAAGCCCCUUCAAAACAGCCUUACCUCUCAUGCAAUUGGCCAAAGUGAAAAUUGGCAGAGAAGGUAUUAUGCCAUGGCUAAGCAUAGAGAUUCUGACUUUUGGGGUCCAAACUCUGUCUUUUUCACUUUCGUGCUAUGUGAUCUGAGGCUACUUAAUCUCUCUUUGCCUAAAAUGGGGGUAAUAAUAGAACUUAAGGAGGAGUUUGAGGGUUAAUUGAGUUAAUAUCUGUAAAACAUUCAGAAAUUGCCUGGCAUGUAAGGGCUCCGUGAGAUUUGGUCUCUCUGCUUUUUUCUGCCUGACACAGCAACAUGCAACAGUGCAGACCAUCGCAGAGAGACUGCUGUGUGCGAAAUGGAGAGCGGGGAGAAGCUGCUCUGAGCACAGGGCGCCCAGCCUGGGGCUCUGCGAUGACCGUGUCGGGUGGGGUGGGGGGAAGGAGGGGGACUCAAGAGGGAGAGAACAUUUGUAUAAUUAUGGCUGAUUUGUAUAAUUAUGGCCAUUGUUGUAUGGCGGAAACCAACACAGCACUGUAGAAGUUAAACAAAGCAACACUGUAAAGCCUGUGCAAAGCCCAGGCCUUUGGUCUUACAGGGAGGAGCUCUGGUGGUCUUACCUGUAGCAGUGACAGAGAGAAGACCUUCUCAGUGGUGUGGCUGCUUGUCCCCUGGUGCCACCAGGAGCCUGGGUGAACGUCCAGCUUAGAAACAGCAGCCUUAUCAGCACCAUCGGAUACCAGUGGGUGUCAGCCUUCAAGGGCACAGGCUUCAAAGUGAAAUAUAAGUCCGGCGUUCCGUGUCUCCAGUCUGGGGUGACGAAGGUGGAGAGACCAUUUCACUGUCUCCGUAGUAAACAAAGAGCAACCUCAUCGGGACCGGACCGGCGUAUGGGGUUUCACUGACCUCGGAGAACAAAGCAGGUGGAGCCCAGCUGGAAACUCCCCUCAGGGCUCAGAAGGGCGCUGAGACGCAUCCCUGGGAACCUGGGUGCUAUGGGGAGCAGACGCCUCGCUGUAGACGCCUGGUCGCUACAGGUCAAAGCUUCAGGAAGGUCAUCCCUUUAGGAAUGGUCCUUGUAGACUGC
ensembl:lncRNA